UACUGGUGCCAGCAGCUGCGGUAAUUCCAGCUCCAAUAGCGUAUAUUAAAGUUGUUGCAGUUAAAAAGCUCGUAGUUGAAUUUCGGGGUUAGUAGGUUGGUCAUGCCUCUGGUAUGUACUGGUCUCACUGAUUCCUCCUUCCUGAUGAACCUUAAUGCCAUUAAUUGGUGUUUUGGGGAAUUUGGACUGUUACUUUGAAAAAUUAGAGUGUUUAAAGCAAGCUAACGCUUGAAUACAUUAGCAUGGAAUAAUGAAAUAGGACGUUCGAUCCUAUUUUAGUUGGUUUCUAGGGAUUGACGUAAUGAUUAAUAGGGAUAGUUGGGGGGCAUUAGUAUUCAAUUGUCAGAGGUGAAAUUCUUGGAUUUAUUGAAGACUAACUACUGCGAAAGCAUUUGCCAAGGAUGUUUUCAUUAAUCAAGAACGAAAGUUAGGGGAUCGAAGACGAUCAGAUACCGUCGUAGUCUUAACCAUAAACUAUGCCGACUAGGGAUCGGAUGAUGUUAAUUUUUUAAUGACUCAUUCGGCGCCUUACG
rnacentral:rRNA from 1 species